GAUGAACGCUGGCGGCGUGCCUAAUACAUGCAAGUAGAACGCUGAAGGAGGAGCUUGCUCUUCUGGAUGAGUUGCGAACGGGUGAGUAACGCGUAGGUAACCUGCCUGGUAGCGGGGGAUAACUAUUGGAAACGAUAGCUAAUACCGCAUGACAACAGUUAUUGCAUGAUAACUGUUUAAAAGGGGCAACUGCUCCACUACCAGAUGGACCUGCGUUGUAUUAGCUAGUUGGUGAGGUAACGGCUCACCAAGGCGACGAUACAUAGCCGACCUGAGAGGGGGAUCGGCCAAACUGGGACUGGGACACGGCCCAGACUCCUACGGGAGGCAGCAGUAGGGAAUCUUCGGCAAUGGACGGAAGUCUGACCGAGCAACGCCGCGUGAGUGAAGAAGGUUUUCGGAUCGUAAAGCUCUGUUGUAAGAGAAGAACGAGUGUGAGAGUGGAAAGUUCACACUGUGACGGUAUCUUACCAGAAAGGGACGGCUAACUACGUG
rnacentral:rRNA from 1 species